rnacentral:rRNA from 1 species
UACCCAAUCCUGACACAGGGAGGUAGUGACAAGAAAUACCAAUAUGAGGCUCUUUUGUCUUGUAAUUGGAAUGAGCACAAUUCAAAAAGCUGUUCGAGUAUCGAUUGGAGGGCAAGUCUGGUGCCAGCAGCCGCGGUAAUUCCAGCUCCAAUAGCGUAUAUUAAAGUUGUUGCGGUUAAAAAGCUCGUAGUUGGAGUUCUGCCAGGUGCCGCCUGUCCGCCCCAGUGGUGAGUACGUGGCGCGCAUUUGGCCCUUUCAAGGGGAGCGUAUCUGCACUUUAUUGUGUGGUGCGGGAUCCUUGACUUUUACUUUGAGGAAAUAGGAGUGUUCCAAGCAGGCUCUCGUCGUGCACAGCUCAGCAUGGAAUAAUAGCAUUGGACCUCUAUUCUAAGCUGUUGGUUGCCAGAAGCGAGGUAAUGAUGAAGAGGGAUAGUUGGG